rnacentral:rRNA from 1 species
GACGAACCGUGCAAACGUUGUUCGGAUUCACUGGGCUUAAAGGGCGCGUAGGCGGGCCAUCAAGUCAGGGGUGAAAUCUUUCGGCUCAACCGGAAAAGUGCCUUUGAUACUGGUGGUCUCGAGGGAGGUAGGGGCAUGCGGAACUUCCGGUGGAGCGGUGAAAUGCGUAGAUAUCGGAAGGAACGCCGGUGGCGAAAGCGGCGUGCUGGACCUCUUCUGACGCUGAGGCGCGAAAAGCUG